CAGGACGAACGCUGGCGGCGUGCCUAACGCAUGCAAGUCGAGCGGAGACAUACGGCGGAUUGAAGUUUCGGAUGGAAAUGAAGAUGUAUGUUUAGCGGCGGACGGGUGAGUAACGCGUGAGCAACCUGUCCUUCACAGGGGGAUAACACAGCGAAAGUUGUACUAAUACCGCAUAAGACCACGGGACCGCAUGGUUCUGGGGGUCAAAGGAGCAAUCCGGUGAAGGGUGGGCUCGCGUCCGAUUAGAUAGUUGGUGAGGUAACGGCCCACCAAGUCGACGAUCGGUAGCCGACCUGAGAGGGUGAUCGGCCACAUUGGGACUGAGACACGGCCCAACUCCUACGGGAGGCAGCAGUGGGGAAUAUUGGGCAAUGGGGGAAACCCUGACCCAGCAACGCCGCGUGAGGGAAGAAGGUUUUCGGAUCGUAAACCUCUGUCCUUGGUGAAGAGUAAGAGACGGUAGCCAAGGAGGAAGCCCCGGCUAACUACGUGCCAGCAGCCGC
rnacentral:rRNA from 1 species